GCUGUGAUGGCCGAGUGGUUAAGGCGUUGGACUUGAAAUCCAAUGGGAUCUUCCCGCGUAGGUUCGAACCCUGCUCGCAGCG
rnacentral:tRNA from 1 species